AAAUUGAAGAGUUUGAUCAUGGCUCAGAUUGAACGCUGGCGGCAGGCCUAACACAUGCAAGUCGAACGGUAGCACAGAGAGCUUGCUCUCGGGUGACGAGUGGCGGACGGGUGAGUAAUGUCUGGGAAACUGCCUGAUGGAGGGGGAUAACUACUGGAAACGGUGGCUAAUACCGCAUAAUGUCGCAAGACCAAAGAGGGGGACCUUCGGGCCUCUUGCCAUCAGAUGUGCCCAGAUGGGAUUAGCUAGUUGGUGAGGUAACGGCUCACCAAGGCGACGAUCCCUAGCUGGUCUGAGAGG
rnacentral:rRNA from 3 species